GCACAUUUCCAUUCAUAAAAGAUGACAAUCAAAGGCAAUAAAAGCUGUGAAGCUCCAAUAUUUCCCUGAGAUGAAACCCGCUCUGCCUCUUCUCUGACGGCUGUUUGCAGGAUCUGCUGAUUACACGCCUCACACGGCUCCCACAAUGGAGGAAAUUGGUUUCCUUAUUAUUCUAUUCCGAGGGGACAAAACAGGUCUCCCGUGGACAAAGACGGUCUUGACCUGACCUUCGCUGAUAUUCUGAAGUCGUGUCUUCUUAAUGAGGAGCCUGAAACAAAGAGGACAGACAGAAAUCACCUCCGCUCAGCCUUUGUUGUCUUUCUGCACGGAGGGUAAAUUGGCCUCCUCAUCAAACGCACAUUUUCAAAGGUGUGCAUGUUAAUCAAAGGAGGAGGAGGAGGAGGAGGAGGUGUGUAGUUAAACGGGUUCACAGCCACGGUGUAUUGAUUAUCUGGACUGGUGCAGAAAUAUGCCUUAUGAUAGAUAUUGAUUAAUCUGCAUGUUCGCUGAGUGCAGGUGUGCUCUAACCUGUGGGAUUAUGAGAUCACAUGACGGUAAAUCAAACUCACAAUUAUGUCACAGAAGCGCGGCUCUCCGUGUGCGUGCUCCCUCACGUCAGUCUUUGCAUUUUCACAUUUUUCACCUCCAACAAAAACAGAUAUCUGCAGAGUGUGGAGUCUCCUGAGGCGGGCUUUUAAAACGCUCCUUUCUCUGCUGUUUCGAGGCGUCAGCUCUGGGCUACGCUUACGUGACUCACCUUCACCACCUCCAGUGUUCAUCAGGAGCCAAAGAGGAGAGAGAGAGAGAGCUCCAGGUGCUGUUUAACAUGCAUGUCAGGAAACCCAGCUCCAGGUCUGUCCGGCUCCCCGUAUGAAGAUGCCUUUGGUCACCACAGGGUCAGCGCUGUGUCCCCGCAACCCGCUCCCCCAACAGAAUAUUAAAACCACAAGACUCUGCUCGCUUGUUUCACAGUCUGUGACAUUUUAUUUGACGGGUUCAGAUAAAUGUUUUCCUGUGAAAUGUGCAGGUGACAUCUAGA